rnacentral:rRNA from 1 species
UACGUAGGGUGCAAGCGUUGUCCGGAAUUAUUGGGCGUAAAGAGCUCGUAGGUGGCCUGUCGCGUCGGCUGUGAAAACUCGGGGCUCAACUCCGAGCUUGCAGUCGAUACGGGCAGGCUAGAGUUCGGCAGGGGAGACUGGAAUUCCUGGUGUAGCGGUGAAAUGCGCAGAUAUCAGGAGGAACACCGGUGGCGAAGGCGGUCUGCUGGGGUGAGGCUGACGCUGAUGCGCGACAGCGUGGGGAGCAAACAGG